rnacentral:rRNA from 1 species
CCUACGGGCGGUAGCAGUGGGGGAUAUUGCACAAUGGGAGGAACCCUGAUGCAGCGACGCCGCGUGGGUGAAGAAGCGCCUCGGCGCGUAAAGUCCUGUCAGCAGGGAAGAAAAUGACGGUACCUGAAGAAGAAGCCCCGGCUAACUACGUGCCAGCAGCCGCGGUAAUACGUAGGGGGCAAGCGUUAUCCGGAUUUACUGGGUGGAAAGGGGGCGGAGACGGCGAUGCAAGCCAGGAGGGAAAGCCCGGGGCCCAACCCCGGGACUGCCCUUGGAACUGCGUGGCUGGAGUGCAGGAGGGGCAGGCGGAAUUCCUGGUGUAGCGGUGAAAUGCGUAGAUAGCAGGAGGAACACCGGUGGCGAAGGCGGCCUGCUGGACUGCAACUGACGUUGAGGCCCGAAAGCGUGGGGAGCAAACAGGAUUAGAUACCCGUGUAGUC